rnacentral:rRNA from 1 species
GACGAACCGUGCGAACGUUGUUCGGAAUCACUGGGCUUAAAGGGCGCGUAGGCGGGCCUGAAAGUCAGGGGUGAAAGCCCCCAGCUCAACUGGGGAAGUGCCUCUGAUACUGCGGGCCUCGAGGGAGGUAGGGGCGUGCGGAACUUCCGGUGGAGCGGUGAAAUGCGUAGAUAUCGGAAGGAACACCGGUGGCGAAAGCGGCGCGCUGGACCUCUUCUGACGCUGAGGCGCGAAAGCUAGGGGAGCAAACGGG